rnacentral:rRNA from 1 species
GCAAGCGUUAAUCGGAAUUACUGGGCGUAAAGCGCACGCAGGCGGUUUGUUAAGUCAGUGUGAAAUCCCCGGGCUCAACCUGGGAACUGCAUCUGAUACUGGCAAGCUUGAGUCUCGUAGAGGGGGGUAGAAUUCCAGGUGUAGCGGUGAAAUGCGUAGAGAUCUGGAGGAAUACCGGUGGCGAAGGCGGCCCCCUGGACGAAGACUGACGCUCAGGUGCGAAAGCGUGGGGAGCAAACAGGAUUAGAUACCCUGGUAGUCCACGCCGUAAACGAUGUCGACUUGGAGGUUGUGCCCUUGAGGCGUGGCUUCCGGAGCUAACGCG